rnacentral:rRNA from 1 species
UGGGGGAUAUUGCACAAUGGAGGAAACUCUGAUGCAGCGACGCCGCGUGAGGGAAGAAGGUUUUCGGAUUGUAAACCUCUGUCUUCGGUGACGAAAAUGACGGUAGCCGAGGAGGAAGCCACGGCUAACUACGUGCCAGCAGCCGCGGUAAUACGUAGGUGGCAAGCGUUGUCCGGAAUUACUGGGUGUAAAGGGAGCGUAGGCGGGAAGGCAAGUUGAUUGUUUAAACCUAUGGGCUCAACCCAUAGUCGCGAUCAAAACUGUUUUUUCUUGAGUGAAGUAGAGGUAAGCGGAAUUCCUAGUGUAGCGGUGAAAUGCGUAAAUAUUAGGAGGAACACCAGUGGCGAAGGCGGCUUACUGGGCUUUAACUGACGCUGAGGCUCGAAAGCGUGGGUAGCAAACAGGAUUAGAUACCC